rnacentral:misc_RNA from 1 species
UUUUGACAUAUAAAGGCAUAUAUUACACCAAGAUCAGCAGAUUUUCUAAAUACAUAUAUAAUUUAAGACUCAAAAUACUAAGGAAAAAAAAUUGACACAACGUCAUAAAAAAAAAAGAAUAGAAUAAAUAGAAUUUAGAAGCUUGAACCAAAACAUAUGACUAACUUAUAAUAUAAAAUCACCCAAAGAAUGAACUGAUAUAUUAAUUUAUCGCCAAAUCUAAAAUCCAAAUGAAAGUUGAAUCAAACCCUUAUAAUAAAGGUGUCUACAAUCAGAUAUAAUAUACCCAAAUACUUAAUUUCAUUUUGCUGAAGAGAGUAUUGCCCACCCAGUACACAGAACAAUCUGAGUAGCAGCACAUUGCUUGAAAGUAGUUUUUAACUAGUUAUUUAAAAAGUAAACAGUGAAACCAAACCACAACUCUUUUAUUCAAACAAAACGCAGAAAAACAACACAAGAGCCUAGUCCAUUUUUCACAGCCCUUCUAUAUAAUCAACUCCAGUAGAUUUCAACCAUUUCCCUCCUUGAAUCAGCUCUGCAACUGUGAAUUUCUUGGCCUCAGUAGCACUAGUAAUGACAUGGUAACCUGGCCAUUUUACUCUCUCACUAGUACCAGCACCUGGUCCCUUGUUCAUAUAUUCGCCAUAAUACAAUGUCUUCAGUGCAAAAUCUCCAUCCCAAGGUGACCACCCUGAAGGAUCAAUAUGGUCACCGAUUUUGGACUGCAUCACUACGGUCCUCGAAUACUUCUUCCAUGGACGACCCAAAUAUGAUUGGACGGAGUCCUUAACGGGCUCAAGAUCGGAGCUUGCUUUUAUGUCACAUUUUUGGAUUGAAGUGCCUGUGUUUUGGUUUGGAUCAGUUCGGCCUUGGGCUGUUACCAUGUUUUUUUGUCCACUCAUGGGCUUUCGGGCAACUAUUUUGCAUUUUUGGAACACAACACCUGCGUUCCCGAAUAUGAAGUCCACUGUGCCUGAGAUGAAGCAAUCUCUGUAGAAUUGACGGUUGCUGUGGGUAUAAAGAGUGUCUUGGUAAGCAUCAAUACGACAGCGAUUUAUGACUGACUGAUCAGCGUUGACUCGGAGUGCCACCGCUUGAUGCUUCUGCGGCCCCGCGGUGUUUACGAACCGGAUAUCUUGGGCUAUGAAUCCAUCACCAUCAGCAGCUGCACCCACAGAUUUAAAGCAUGCCUUGUUUAAUUAGUAAUAUCAAAUUCGAACUUAUUCAAAGCUAAAUUAAUAAUAAAAGUAAAAGCAUUAUCAUAUAGAAACUAAAACACCGUGGGCCAGCAUGAGCCUGCAAAGGACCACAAAAGGCCCAAAACAUCCCAUUGGAAGGCACAAAAAAAGAAGAAAAUCUUUACCUACGGUUGCAGAUUUGAAAGUUGUUGAUCCAUCAACAACAUUCAAGCUACCCGUUAUGAUGGUUGAAUCCAUGCCAUCACCAACAAGCAUCACAUUCUUCUUAGUCUUUCCUAUUUCAACAUUCUCUUUGUAUUUCCCCUUCUUCACAUAAAUAACAUAUCUGCUCUUUCCAUUAUCUGGGGCAGAAGCCACAGCUUCUUUGACAGUCUUGUAGUUACCACUCCCAUCUUUGGCUACUAUAACAUUGGCAUUGAUUUCCCCAGGCGAAGCUUGCAAGAGUUUUCGAUCCCUACUCGUUACCCAUGACGGAAACUCUCCGUUCAAUGGCCAAAGUAGACCAUCUUUCGCCGGUGAAAUUUCGACCAGGAUGGCUAGAGAGGCUCUUGCUCCUGCUGUCAAGUCCUUGAGCCCUGGCUCCAUUGCUAACCUGGCUGGACCCAGGUUUAGCCCAUCCAUACACGUAACAUGGUUAGAGAGCACACUACUGAGCCAUGUAUGAGCAUUUGCAUGAGAAAUGGGGGUAACAUUUUCAAGAGCCACUAUAGAGUCUUCAAUUCUAUCUAUAGAUAGCUCCAUCAGCUUCACACAAUCAACUAGAGCCGCUUGAUUUACAGGAUCAUUGUUCCGGUGGCUAAAACGGUUCGCCUCUUGGAUGAUAUUUUGAAUGUGAGAUGUGGAUUUCUUUAGCAAGUGUUGGAGUACAUGGACAUGGUUCAGUUUCGCGGUGGUGCUUGAGGCUAUUUCUGAGACGAUCGCUAGGCAUGAUGGCUCAUCAUGGGCAUGGACACAUAUGUUUUGAAGUGGAGGAUUGAAGAAGCCAAAUUUGUUAAAAUUGAAGGUAACUAUUGUAGCUGAGCAUAAGAAGACAGCUGCUAAGGAGAGAAGUAGACAGAGAGCUUUGCGGUGAGAGGCUUUGUGGGGAGGUAGCAGAGGCUGGAUACUUGCUUCCAUGGUGGUAGUGUGCUAUGCUUCCUCUAGCUAGCAGGCUUAAUGGUGUUUUAUAGUCUUUGAAUAAACAUUAGGAGACCAACUAAACAAGUUGUCUUUUGUUAAUCAUGACAUUAGCCUAAAGUUCA